UACGGAGGUGGCAAGCGUUGUUCGGAAUUACUGGGCGUAAAGGGCGCGUAGGCGGCAAGGCAAGUCAGGUGUGAAAGCCCCGAGCUUAACUCGGGAAUUGCAUCUGAAACUGCUGUGCUUGAGUUCUGGAGGGGGUAGUGGAAUUCCCAGUGUAGCGGUGAAAUGCGUAGAUAUUGGGAGGAACACCAGUGGCGAAGGCGACUUCCUGGCCUGUUCUUGACGCUGAGGCGCGAAAGCGAGGGGAGCAAACGGG
rnacentral:rRNA from 1 species